UGGGGAAUCUUGCGCAAUGGGCGAAAGCCUGACGCAGCAACGCCGCGUGGGGGAUGAAGCUUCUCGGAGUGUAAACCCCUUUCGACCCGGAAGAAUGCCCGCAAGGGUUUGACGGUACGGGUAUAAGAAGCCCCGGCUAACUACGUGCCAGCAGCCGCGGUAAUACGUAGGGGGCCAGCGUUGCUCGGAAUUACUGGGCGUAAAGGGUCCGUAGGCGGUGUGGCAAGUCGGGAGUGAAAUCUCUGGGCUUAACCCAGAGGCUGCUUCCGAAACUGCCGUGCUAGAGUGUGAGAGAGGCGAGUGGAAUUACGGGUGUAGCGGUGAAAUGCGUAGAUAUCCGUAGGAACAUCCGAGGCGAAGGCGGCUCGCUGGAUCACAACUGACGCUGAGGGACGAAAGCUAGGGGAGCAAACAGGAUUAGAUACCCGUGUAGUCC
rnacentral:rRNA from 1 species